rnacentral:rRNA from 1 species
CGGUUCGCUGCCGACAACGUCACGAGAAGUCCACUGAACCUUAUCAUUUAGAGGAAGGAGAAGUCGUAACAAGGUUUCCGUAGGUGAACCUGCGGAAGGAUCAUUGUCGAGAUCGAACGGAAGAACGACCCGCGAAUCGUCGUUGCGUACUAGACAGAGCCCGUGAGCACCUAACGCUCAUGGGGCUCGCGUCGCGUCGGCGCGGGUGUGUACUCGAGACCCGCGUCGUACCGGCGGACAAACAAUGUCAGCACGGAUCGUGCCAAGGAGCUCUAUGGAGAGAAUCGUCGUCCCUCGCCUUUGAUGGUCCUCGAUGCGGGACGGGGGGCGAGGGAUGUACGCAAUCUCUACUCAAGUCGAAACGACUCUCGGCAACGGAUAUCUCGGCUCUUGCAUCGAUGAAGAACGUAGCGAAAUGCGAUACUUGGUGUGAAUUGCAGAAUCCCGCGAACCAUCAAUUCUUUGAACGCAAGUUGCGCCCGAAGCCAUUCGGCCGAGGGCACGCCUGCCUGGGUGUCGUGAAUCCCCUUGCCCCUAGGCACCCCGCAUGAGCAUUGGCGGGGAUAUAUGCUCGGGCGCAGAAUAUGGUCUCCCGUGGGAUCGGCAUGCACGGCAUGUCGAGGUGCGGUUGGCCGAAAAUCGAGCAUGGCGGUGACGGGCACCACGGCGUUCGGUGGAUCGAAUGAGAUUGGCUGCGCCGUGGGCUCGGCAUGCGGCGGGCUCCGGACUUUGAAUAUCCCCGAGUGCGAUCCCAGGUCAGGCGGGGCUACCCGCUGAGUUUAAGCAUAUCAUAAGC